rnacentral:lncRNA from 1 species
AUGCCAGCCCCCUCCCCACAGAGACAGCGCUGCUGCGUCCACUUAGAGGCAGUUUCGAGCCAUAGGUCCCCUAUCAGUGGUCCAAGCUCCACAAGUCACUUUGCAAGGAUCCCGCUGCCUCUGCAGAAUGUGGGCAACACCUACCCUGCAAGUCGUUGGGAGGAUAAAAAUAAUCUAUGGACUAGAGGAAGCGCUCAAAGGAUAGCUGUAUUAUCCACACUCAAGCGAACCGGGGAAGAGGAUUCCCCAAGUCGGCCGGCUGUGUCCCUGCUGAGGCCCAGCCCUCCAACUUGCUCAAGAUGAUCUGGAUGUUAUGGAUUCUUUUUGAGUUGAAAGAAGAAGAUGCAGCCAGGUCCUGUCCUGCAAUGGAAGGUUCUGCAAUGGAAGGGCAUCAUUGCCUAUGAGCAAGUUAGCGGAGCAGACCCUGCUCUUUCCUCCUCCCCCGAUGACAGGUAAGGCUCACUUUGACCACCUGUGGAAGUGCUGAGCCAGCCUGGGGGUGGGAGGGAGGGAGACGGGGACAGGGGGAGGAGGAGGGAGGACAGGGAUGCAGGAGUCACUCCUCCCAGCUGGCCCCAGGGGUAUGGAGGGUGGGCAUGGGUACCAGGUAGGAUCCGAACUGGUGACAUAGCAGGGAAGCUUGCUGGGGGAAUCGGUGGAAAAAGUCCCUCUCUCUUUGAAAGGGCUUCAAGAAACAGGCCUUUUCCUUUCAGUCUCCAGAUGUCAUCACCGGGAGCACUAUAGUCUUUCUGAAAAGACAAUGAAAGGGAUUGGACUAGAAGAGCCCACAGGAUUUGGGGGGUGACAGAGAAGAAAGUUGGGGAACUCUCAGGAUCUUCAGGACAUUGUUGUUAAACCGCCAAGUCAGUGGCCCCGGAGAGGUGGGGGAGAGGCACGCCUUGGGAUUUUCCUGCUAUGGGAGAUGGAUUGCUUUUCUUAUCUAGCCGGCUGCAAGCUGCCUUCUCUUUUGCAGCCGCACCCUCCUCACAGGCUGGAGCACACUAGCAGAAAUGAAAGUCCGGUUGGGCAUCAGAGGGGUUACCAGGAGGACGCUCGGGGGGCUCUGACCACUCCAGGCACCGGAGCCCCUUAGCAUCCCGCACCUGUCUCAGGAUGCCCGCCGCACCCCUCGUGUGGCUCUCUUGCUCCUGCCCUGGGCCCCUUCUUUCAUCUGUCCUUGCUUUCAGCGAAACUGGCUGCUGCUCACUAGGCUUCCAGUUCCAGUUUUCGAGAGUGAGAACCUGAUUGGCCUGGUCAAGCACCACGGCUCCAGAGAGGGAAGACAUUCUCAUGCUGGAUGUCCUCAUGGGUGGCUCACCGGUCAAUCUGCGGAGGGGGGGUCCCCCUCUGCUCUGUGUCUCCUCAUCCAUAGCAAGGAGAGUGGGUGCAGAACAUGAUCAGCCCCACUCAGCCCGAGGCCGAGGCUGUGGGCUGGGAAGUUUCCCUGACAGGCACACAAUGCUGUUGGCAGGUCGUGAGGCUGGCUUGCCAGCGCAGCCUUCGUGGGGAGCAAUAAAACGGCAGCGCUGAGCCAACCAGGGUCAGAGCAAAGGAAUCCACUGCAACCACAACACUCUCUGCUGUUGAUCUGUUACACACUCAAGAGUGAGGGUGGUGGUGGGGGGUCCAGUGGGAAUGUUUGCCUGGGGCCUAGCUCUGCCCCAGACACACAGUCAAACUCAGAGAGUAUCCACCCCCGCCCCCGCAGGUGCAUACCCACAGGAAGUGGAGGCACUGCUGCUGCCCCAAAUGUACACACCACACGUGAUUUUUCCAUAUGGCACUCGAUACAACUGUUUUCAGGGUUGUUUUGUCGUUGGAGUCCUUAUGAAAGCCUUCACGGCCUGGCCUUGUGCCGGGAUGUGCAAGCAGCAGCCCUGCUGAUGGCACUGGAGGCAGAAGUGACAGCGAACGACCGCAGCAGAAUGUUUCCUAAAUCAAAGCCUUUAAAAAGCAUAUGGGGUACAAGCAACGAGGAGCCGGAGUGUGAGAGCACGACGCCCUUGCGCUGUGUUUAUGGCAUUCUGAUAGUAGGUGUGUUAUUCUUUCCGUAAGAACAAGCAAUCACAGGGAUGGAAGAGGCGCCAAGUGAGGUGUUUCUGUCACUUAUUAGUUCUAUGUCCUCAGGCAAAUUGUUUGAACUUUCUCAGCUUCGGUGUCUUCAUUGGUAAAAUGUGUCUAAUACUACUUCCCUUGCAGGGUUGCCGUAUUCCUUACAGACAGUAAGGCACCUGAGAAAAUGUUGAGCACAUAACUUGGUGACAUCUUAAAGCUGUCAUCCUAAAGGACCCCUUCCCUGGGGCAGGUAGGCUAUAGGGUUACUUUGAGAGAAUCAUAGUCUGAAUCUCCAGACCGUGGUAUUGGCUGAGUGCUGGGAUAUCUGUCACCCAGCUCAACAAAUGAGCUUGGAAUUCAUUGUGCUCAUCAGAUCAGAAAUGAGAAAUGGCUGGAAGGUGCCAAGUGGAUAGUGGGAUAUUGGGAAGAAGACAGCUUAAUUGAUGCUAAUCUGAGCAGGAAAUGGAGAGGAAGCCAAGUAGCUUCGAGAGCUGAGCCCAGGUGUCAUUCAUCAUUUUAUGCUACAUGGGAAGUGGGAGAGGACCCAGACCUGAUACCAGCCAGGGCUCUGAGGAAAGAGUCAGAGGCCACUGUCACCAGGAAGUGAAUGAUGCUGAAUAAAAACCACCCCAGGCACUAAGAGAGAGGUCAGGAAUAAGGAUGGGAUUUGCAGGAUUGGGGAGCCAAAGGACCUUUAGGGGAAUGACAGAGAUAUUUAGGAAUUCUUGGGACUGGAGUCAAGAAAGGUCUACUAGACAGCUGAGAGCACUCAGAAGUCCAGUGUGGCUGCCUGAGGCCACACUCAAAGAGAAAAUCAACAGUGAGUAUUGGAGACGUUUUAGGGAUCCCUGAAGGCUCCCAGUGGGAAUACCAGACAUUGCGGUGUUAAGAUGGCAAGGAGGAACGGGUGUGUGUGUGUGUGUGUGUGUGUGUAAAACAAUAUUUUUUUCCAGAGGACAAGACUCCAAAAUGUGUUUCAGCACCACCACCACCUGCCCCCUAUACAUCCUGCAAAAUCCUCCAAACUGCGGAGAGGAUGGACUUUACUCCCAUCAUUAGGUUACAUUAGAAGGCACAGCUGGCCUUAAAAUAAGAAGAAUAACUAGGUGGGUAGGACCUAAUCCUAAAAGCCCCUUAAAAACGGAGUGUCCUCUAGCUGCUGACCGAAGGGGAAGUCAGGGAUCUCAAGCAGAAGUAUUCAAGGUACCACUGAUGACUUGAAGAGGGAGAGGCCACUUAUCAAGAAAUUUGGCAGCUUCUAGGAGACGCAGCUCUGGGGACUACCAGAAACGAAAAAGGGAUCAGUCCUACAACCAUAAGGAACUGACAACAAGAAUGGGCUUGGAAAUGGAUUCUUCCCCAGAGCCUCCAGAUGAGAGUGCAGGCGAGUUAGCACCUUGAUUUUAGCCUUGGGAUCCUCUGAGAGAGAACCCAGCCUCUCCAUACCAGAUUUGAACCGUGAUUUGUGAGAUACUAGGCGAGAGUUUUUUUUAAGCUGCUAAUUUUGUAGGGAAUCUGAAUGCAACAAGAGGAAACAAAUACAGAUCAAUGAAGAAUAUGUAGUUCAGAUUUAGGACUUAAUCUUUCAUCCUUCCCACCUUAUUUCCUUUUCGUUUCACAUUACCUUCUUCAUCUUUUUUUGUUUGUUUGUUUUGUUUUUGGCCAAUUUACUAUCUGAUUACUAGGAACCAGAGGGAAUUUGACUGUACCUAAGUGCUAAUAAAAUAAAAUAUAAGAAAAAUGUAAAUCUGUACCUGCUUCUGCCACUUAGUAUGUGUGGCUUUGGGAAAGUUGGUUAGCUUCCUUAUACCUCAGUUUCGCAUCUAUAAAUAGCGUUUAUAAGGCUUACUUGCUGCACUGAAGUUAGACUCAAGUCACAUGAUGUAUGCUUUAUGAAAUAUAAAGCU